rnacentral:rRNA from 1 species
GGAGCUGACCGAUACUAAGUGGCCGAGGGCUUG